GGAUUUCUAAAUAAUAUUUAUAUUCUUAGGUUUUACGUCGAUUUAGUUCUUUCACUUUCAUAAUUAUUUUCACCUACAUUUUGAAGAUUAAUGAAAAUAUAAUAAAUUACAAACAUACAACAACGUUUUUAUGCAUUUGUUUUCUUAUCACAAAUCGAAUACGUGAUAAAUACAGUUUCUAUUUGUGUGAUUGAAAGAUAAAACUGAAUUUAUGAAUAAUUAUUAGUGUUAACAAUGUGCUGUAGAUAACGUGUUUAUCUGGAUGCAUCGUUUUUAAAAAACAGUAAAUAAAGUUAGAAAGUCGUAGUCGUUUUAAAUUUUUUUAACAUGAAUCGUAGUAGUGAGAUAUUAACCACUUCUGGUAAUGAAGAGAAAGGUAGAAGUGAUUGCAAACCUCCCGCAUCAUCACUAAAUGUUAUAUCACCAUGGAACAAGCAAAAAUCAAUUAGUUUUAUAACUUUAAUAAUAUGUUUUGUUAUUUGGUCGGCUAUAUUUUUUCCAUUAUUGAAGAAAUACGACCAAAGUAGUAUGGAUAUGGAUGAUGAUAUGCAUAUGUGAAGAUAUUUAAAUUGUUUCGAUUUAUAUUAUUAUAAUUACAUCACUGUUUAUAGUAAAUUUGUAUACUCUUAAACCUAAACUAGUAAUUGAAUCAUACGUUUCAUUUAUCACCAAAUUCUCUAUACCAAAUGUCUUUUAUUUAUAUUAUUGAAAUGUAUAUAUAAACCCUGUAUAUAGACAAGACAUCCAUAAAAAUUAGUACCGUCUAAGGAACUUUGCUGUAGAAUUGCGACAAAAGCUGAAACCCCAGGAACAGUGUUGCCACAAUUUAAAAGCUGAAUGUAAAAAUUGAACUAGAUUGUACCAACUUCAAACAAAUUUAAUAAAAUUAUAGAAAGAUGUAUAAAUAUAAGUUUAAAUUAAAUUUUUUUUCCAAAAAUGUUAUAGACUGUCAAUUAUUAUUUUAAGGAUGAAAAAUUUAUAUAAAGUUUACCGAUAAAAUUAGCAAUGCAGUACAAAAAUCUCACGAUCUAAAUAUAAAUCGACUUGGCUCUGUUUUCUAAUUAUUGUUACAAUCUAGUACAAUUUCUAGUUUAUUUUAUUAAACGAAAAUAUAAAAUAACUUUAUAUUUGCGAACGCAGGGAAAAUGUAUUAGAAAAAAGGAAAAAUGUACUAGCGUAUAAAAUACACUAAAAUUGUACAAUUGUACUAGCUCUGGCAACACUGCCCAGGAAAUCGCUAUCGUGACGUUAGAUGUCGUAAAGUACAAGAUAAAACACUGAGAGAACGUUCCACUAAGAGCGAAAAGUUGAUAUUAAGAUAGAGAGAGCGUCAUGUUGGUGGAAUUGUACUAUUGGAAGAAAGGGAAAGAGCAUAGGUUUACACUCUCUAAUCAAUAUUAAAAUUAAAACUUUUUAUUCUCCUCCUUCUCUGUUUCCCACACCUCGAAACUUAGACGUCAUCAAAGAUUUGAACGUCAUGGUGAACUAAUCAGAAUAGAGUAGAGAGUAGUAAACCGAUGAUCUAUCUUUUUCUAUAAUUCAUAACUCGCUCUCUCUAUCUUUGAUAUCCAGUAAUUUGAGGGCGCGAGAUCUCGCGAUAAUCAUUCUACACUAUAGGGGGUGUUAUCAUCAUUGCGGAAAUUAAGUGAUAUGUACACUGAAAAAACAAGCCGAAAUCUAUAUAUAUAUAUAAAUACAUUUUCUUCUUAGGAUAUUCUGAUGUGUCAUACCCAUCUAAAAAGUUGAACGCAGUUUAUCGCCUUUUUGGUAGCUCUCUACCAUUAUCUUAUAAUUCUCAUGUUAAAUAGGUAUAAGCAAAAUAACAAGAUUCUCCAAUAUUUUAUCCAACAUAAUUAUUUUAGGAAACUUUUUUAUGUAGAAUCAUUGAAAGCAAAAUAUUACUCUUGAUAAUUGUAAUUAAAAUAGCUAAAAAAAUGAAAUGAUGGAACACGGAGGCAUCAGAAACCAUAUAUGAAAUACUUCUGCAUGGACAGUUCUUAUGGGAGAAAACGUCUCUACGUUACGGUGCCGACAAUAUUAAUUUUCUCUGUCGUUAGAAACACUUUAUCUAUACUGCGCAGAGCUAACUGAAACGCCCAGAAAAGAGAGAGAGAACGAUACACUAUUUGUUUCACUUAGUCGGAACAUAGGAGUAUUACAUUACAUAUAUAAACCACCUAUUAUGUCUCAAGGUUAAAUCAGUUUUCUAAUCAAACUUUAGAACCCUAGGGAAUUGCCAGCCUAAGUAGAUGUAAAGUUGGCGAACUUGAAACAAAACUGAAUCAUUUGAUGUUGGUAUGCAUUGUUGAGAGUGUAAGAGAGAUUUUAAAAACAGAAAUUAUUAGAAUAGGAUAGUAAAUUGAAAUCUUAUUUCUAAGUCAUAAUUAUUUUAGAAAAAUCUAUUCGAAAAUUGUACAUGAAAUAUUUAAUAUCCUCAUGGUGAAUCUUCGAACAAUAAUUUGCUGUUUACAGAUGAACAGUUUUUCAACUUUUCAACAAGAGAUACUGCUCCUUACCUCUACCCUCCAUAUUUGCGUCCUGAUCGAUUUUUUUGUCCUUUUCAUUAUGUUAAUUUUUCAAAAUGACUUUUAAUAAAUGUGUAUAAGAUUG